rnacentral:rRNA from 1 species
GACGAACGCUGGCGGCGUGCCUAAUACAUGCAAGUAGAACGCUGAAGAGAGGAGCUUGCUCUUCUUGGAUGAGUUGCGAACGGGUGAGUAACGCGUAGGUAACCUGCCUUGUAGCGGGGGAUAACUAUUGGAAACGAUAGCUAAUACCGCAUAACAAUGGAUGACACAUGUCAUUUAUUUGAAAGGGGCAAUUGCUCCACUACAAGAUGGACCUGCGUUGUAUUAGCUAGUAGGUGAGGUAAUGGCUCACCUAGGCGACGAUACAUAGCCGACCUGAGAGGGUGAUCGGCCACACUGGGACUGAGACACGGCCCAGACUCCUACGGGAGGCAGCAGUAGGGAAUCUUCGGCAAUGGGGGCAACCCUGACCGAGCAACGCCGCGUGAGUGAAGAAGGUUUUCGGAUCGUAAAGCUCUGUUGUAAGUCAAGAACGGGUGUGAGAGUGGAAAGUUCACACUGUGACGGUAGCUUACCAGAAAGGGACGGCUAACUACGUGCCAGCAGCCGCGGUAAUACGUAGGUCCCGAGCGUUGUCCGGAUUUAUUGGGCGUAAAGCGAGCGCAGGCGGUUUGAUAAGUCUGAAGUUAAAGGCUGUGGCUCAACCAUAGUUCGCUUUGGAAACUGUCAAACUUGAGUGCAGAAGGGGAGAGUGGAAUUCCAUGUGUAGCGGUGAAAUGCGUAGAUAUAUGGAGGAACACCGGUGGCGAAAGCGGCUCUCUGGUCUGUAACUGACGCUGAGGCUCGAAAGCGUGGGGAGCGAACAGGAUUAGAUACCCUGGUAGUCCACGCCGUAAACGAUGAGUGCUAGGUGUUGGAUCCUUUCCGGGAUUCAGUGCCGCAGCUAACGCAUUAAGCACUCCGCCUGGGGAGUACGACCGCAAGGUUGAAACUCAAAGGAAUUGACGGGGGCCCGCACAAGCGGUGGAGCAUGUGGUUUAAUUCGAAGCAACGCGAAGAACCUUACCAGGUCUUGACAUCCCGAUGCUAUUUCUAGAGAUAGAAAGUUACUUCGGUACAUCGGUGACAGGUGGUGCAUGGUUGUCGUCAGCUCGUGUCGUGAGAUGUUGGGUUAAGCCCCGCAACGAGCGCAACCCCUAUUGUUAGUUGCCAUCAUUCAGUUGGGCACUCUAGCGAGACUGCCGGUAAUAAACCGGAGGAAGGUGGGGAUGACGUCAAAUCAUCAUGCCCCUUAUGACCUGGGCUACACACGUGCUACAAUGGUUGGUACAACGAGUUGCGAGUCGGUGACGGCGAGCUAAUCUCUUAAAGCCAAUCUCAGUUCGGAUUGUAGGCUGCAACUCGCCUACAUGAAGUCGGAAUCGCUAGUAAUCGCGGAUCAGCACGCCGCGGUGAAUACGUUCCCGGGCCU